rnacentral:snoRNA from 1 species
AGUUCAUUUUUACCGCCGGUGAGCAGGAAUUUUAUGCUUCCCGCGGUUUAAAAAAUGAACCCAA